rnacentral:rRNA from 1 species
GCCCUACGGGACGCAGCAGUGAGGAAUAUUGGUCAAUGGUCGGGAGACUGAACCAGCCAAGCCGCGUGAGGGAGGAAGGUACAGAGUAUCGUAAACCUCUUUUGUCAGGGAACAAAGACUGGGACGCGUCCCCGGAUGAGUGUACCUGAAGAAAAAGCAUCGGCUAACUCCGUGCCAGCAGCCGCGGUAAUACGGAGGAUUCAAGCGUUAUCCGGAUUUAUUGGGUUUAAAGGGUGCGUAGGCGGUUCGAUAAGUUAGAGGUGAAAUCCCGGGGCUCAACUCCGGCACUGCCUCUGAUACUGUCG